CGGGGCGUGGCUCAGCCCGGUAGAGCACCUGCUUUGGGAGCAGGGGGUCGUAGGUUCAAAUCCUAUCGCCCCGACCA
rnacentral:tRNA from 2 species